rnacentral:lncRNA from 1 species
UUAUAAUAUUUUAUCACACAUAUUACAACAUAAUUAUUGAAAUUUAAAAAGGUGGUCUUUGUGUAUGUGAAUGCACAUUCACAUCACAUCACAUCAAUCCAUAUCCAUAUUCAUAUUACAUACAAAUAGGAGUUCCAUAUGCUUUCAAAUGAUUACAAUUUUUUUAACAAACAUAUUACAACAUAAUUAUUGAAAUUUAAAAAGGUGGUCUUUGUGUAUGUGAAUGCACAUUCACAUCACAUCACAUCAAUCCAUAUCCAUAUUCAUAUUACAUACAAAUAGGAGUUCCAUAUGCUUUCAAAUGAUUACAAUUUUUUUAACAAACAUAUUACAACAUAAUUAUUGAAAUUCAGAAAAGUGUUACAUAGUUAUGUAUUUCAAUCAGCAGUACAAAUAGGAGUACCAUCUGCUUCAUAAAGUAUACAUCCAGUUGAUGCAAGGCAACAAUUGCAUUUUGGGGUGAGGUGUUGAUCACCUGAAGAAGGGCAAGUCAUGUAUGCAACUGAAUCAUAGCAAAAUUGUGGGCAAAUUUUUUGUGCAUCAACAUUUUUCAGGUUGCCUCCUGAAAGAAUUGCACCUGGAUCAUAAACAAGAAAGAAAAAAUUACUCAAAUGAGCAAUCUCACAAAAGUGUAGCUUUCAUCUAUUUUUUAAUUUUUCUCACAUAAACUCGAGAUGUAUGCAUUAAGUUUAGGGGAAUAAAUUUAGUGCAAUAUAUUUCUAUAUCUUUUUUCGAACAAGAAUAUAUUUCUAUGUCUAUACAAAGUUUACUAUAAAUUGCUAAAAGAAACAAAAACAAUAUUUAGAAAGAAAGAGAGGUUAGUUCAAGAUUUAC